GAAAGUGUGGGGAGCGAACAGGAUUAGAUACCCUGGUAGUCCACACCGUAAACGUUGGGCGCUAGGUGUGGGACUCAUUCCCACGAGUUCCCGUGCCGCAGCUAACGCAUUAAGCGCCCCGCCUGGGGAGUACGGCCGCAAGGCUAAAACUCAAAGGAAUUGACGGGGGCCCGCGCAAGCGGCGGAGCAUGCGGAUUAAUUCGAUGCAACGCGAAGAACCUUACCUGGGUUUGACAUAUGGAGAAAUCCCCUAGAGAUAGGGGGUCCGUAAGGGCUCUAUACAGGUGGUGCAUGGCUGUCGUCAGCUCGUGUCGUGAGAUGUUGGGUUAAGUCCCGCAACGAGCGCAACCCUCGUCUUAUGUUGCCAGCACGUAAUGGUGGGGACUCAUAAGAGACUGCCGGGGUCAACUCGGAGGAAGGUGGGGAUGACGUCAAGUCAUCAUGCCCCUUAUGUCCAGGGCUUCACGCAUGCUACAAUGGCCGGUACAAAGGGCUGCGAUACCGCAAGGUGGAGCGAAUCCCAAAAAGCCGGUCUCAGUUCGGAUUGGGGUCUGCAACUCGACCCCAUGAA
rnacentral:rRNA from 1 species